AACGAACGCUGGCGGCAGGCUUAACACAUGCAAGUCGAACGCCCCGCAAGGGGAGUGGCAGACGGGUGAGUAACGCGUGGGAACAUACCCUUUUCUACGGAAUAGCUCUGGGAAACUGGAAUUAAUACCGUAUACGCCCUACGGGGGAAAGAUUUAUCGGGGAAGAAUUGGCCCGCGUUGGAUUAGCUAGUUGGUGGGGUAAAGGCCUACCAAGGCGACGAUCCAUAGCUGGUCUGAGAGGAUGAUCAGCCACAUUGGGACUGAGACACGGCCCAAACUCCUACGGGAGGCAGCAGUGGGGAAUAUUGGACAAUGGGCGCAAGCCUGAUCCAGCCAUGCCGCGUGAGUGAUGAAGGCCUUAGGGUUGUAAAGCUCUUUCACUGAUGAAGAUAAUGACGGUAGUCGGAGAAGAAGCCCCGGCUAACUUCGUGCCAGCCGCCGCGGUAAUAC
rnacentral:rRNA from 1 species